GGCAAACGGGUGCGGAACACGUACACAACCUUCCUUCUAGUGGGGAAUAGCCCGGGGAAACCCGGAUUAAUACCCCGUAACAUAAUGGAGUGGCAUCACUUUAUUAUUAAAGCUCCGGCGCUGGAAGAUGGGUGUGCGGCUGAUUAGGUAGUUGGCGGGGUAAUGGCCCACCAAGCCUACGAUCAGUAACUGGUGUGAGAGCACGACCAGUCACACGGGGCACUGAGACACGGUCACCGACUCAUACGGGAGGCAGCAGUAAGGAAUAUUGGUCAACUGGACGCAAGUCUGAACCAGCCAUGCCGCGUGGAGGAUGAAGGUCCUCUGGAUUGUGAACUUCUUUUAUCUGGGCACAGAAACCCAUGGAUUCUUCUGGGGUUGCACGGUACCCUGAUUGCAAGUAAGCACCGGGUAACUCCGUGCCA
rnacentral:rRNA from 1 species